rnacentral:rRNA from 1 species
GUGGGGAAUAUUGCACAAUGGGGGAAACCCUGAUGCAGCAACGCCGCGUGAGUGAAGAAGUAUUUCGGUAUGUAAAGCUCUAUCAGCAGGGAAGAAAAUGACGGUACCUGACUAAGAAGCUCCGGCUAAAUACGUGCCAGCAGCCGCGGUAAUACGUAUGGAGCAAGCGUUAUCCGGAAUUACUGGGUGUAAAGGGAGCGCAGGCGGUUUAGCAAGUCUGAUGUGAAAACCCGGGGCUCAACCCCGGACCUGCAUUGGAAACUGUUAAACUAGAGUGCCGGAGAGGUAAGUGGAAUUCCUAGUGUAGCGGUGAAAUGCGUAGAUAUUAGGAGGAACACCAGUGGCGAAGGCGGCUUACUGGACGGUAACUGACGCUGAGGCUCGAAAGCGUGGGGAGCAAACAGGA